rnacentral:lncRNA from 1 species
CCAAAGACAAAGAUCUUAACAAUCUUGGAAAGGAAAAUUAGAAAAGGAGUUCACGCAUCUGCAUUACAGUACACUAACAUGAACAUAUUCAUGACCAACACUACUCGUUAUAUCUAAUUAAAACAAGAUCUAUAACCUUAAUCACUGUAGAAUAAAAUGACAGCCUCCCAUUUAGACAAAGUGAUUAAUCUUAUUAUAGGCUCCUAGGUUGUUGUAGAAAAUGAUCGGACCAAGAUGCUUAAUUCCCCAUGAGAAGAAGUGAUUCUAAAGCUUGAUACAAAGAGAGAAGAAGACCCUUUAUUUCACUUCAAUUAGAGAGUUCUUCUUCUUCUUGUACUCCAUUGUUAGCUGUCAGAUGUCCAUUUCUCCGACUUGUUUUCUUCUUUGUCUUUGUUGGUGAUGAUGAUAGAGACAGUAAUGGUUGUGAAGAAAAAAGGUAAGGUGGGUGGCAGGAUAGUCGAGAACAUGAUGAUUGUUUUGGUUUCAGCAGUUGAAAAUUUAGAGACGAACAGAGUCAGAGAGGGAAGAGAGAGAAACCCUAAAUGUUUUUUAUGUUGUCUUCCUUUCUUUCCCACAGAAGAUAGUGUUUCUCGAAAAGGAAAAAGGGUC